UACCAACCUACGUAAAUUAAAAUUAAUUCGCGUUAUUUAAUCGAAUUCAUUUCUUUUUUUGUAUAACAUUCGAAAGAAAAAUUAUAAUCGUACGAAUUAAUUAGAAUGAUUAAAAAAUGAUUAUACGUACAUUUGUUAAACCUCCUUCUCCCGCUGGCUCUUUCAGUUCUGCCAAAGAUGCUCGACAACAAAGGAGGCAAACGAUGAAUCUUAAAGUCCACGUGGUAUUCAUCGUUCUAAAAAUAAUUGAAAAAAUAAUUUAACGAAUAAAUUUGUGUAUAACUUUAUUCAAUUUCACUCGAUGUAAUAAUUUUAUAUAUUGUAUCGUGUAUAUUAAAAUAGAAAAGAUUCCAUGUAAUACUUUCUUUCUAUUUUUAUUAAAUAAAUCUUUCUACUUUUGUGA